UUUUAUUAUUAGAAAAUGAAAAUGUUGAGAUUGUGGUAGUUGGAGCAGAAGAAUUGAAUACCACAAUUUUGGAGGAUCAGCCAUUUCCACAAAUAACAGUGAAAAAAGGAUAUCAUAUUCAAAUAUCGUUUGAAAAAAAAAUACAUUUUAAUGAGAAUGUUGCCAACAUUUUGGCUGCAACUAUUGGGGAUUUAUAUAGGGAGGGGGCAAUAGUAUAAUUAAUGUAGAUCAGACAAUUUUAAAAAGUAAAGACCACUUUAAUAUAAAC